UCGGGCAGUCCUGUAAUGUUUUAUUUUUACUUUGUUCCCUAUGCAUUAAUUAGUGUCAUUAUAUUUUUUUGAUGUUCUAUGCUUGAGCCUUGUUGAUGUUUGAAGAUUGGAACUGAAAUUAGUUAUGGGAUUCGAUUGGUGAAAAAAAUUGGGCAUUAUUUAUGAACAAGUUUGAAAAGAAAUACACUAAUUUCUUCUCUACGCCUGUUAGCUAUUUGAACAAACGCCCAAAUGAGGAAAAACAUGCUUGCAAGAACGCAUCCUCACAAAAGAGGAUACAUAAGCGGCAAUCCCAUGAUUUCUCACCAAUAACAUAAAUAUUUUGCCAAAUAACCACAAAUACAUUAGCUACUUUUGUUUUGUUAUUCCUCAACACCCCCCUGUUUCAGCUUUAUCAGUCCCUUGGAAGAUCGAUUUUUCGUCCAUUAGAGCUGUUGUAUUGGGACACUCACUUAAUUUUUUUGAUUGAAAACCAUGAAAUAUAUGGAAUGGUUGAGCGGCAGAAAGAGUACAACAUGUUAGAAAUUGAAUAUUCAACCUCCAUAUCAUCCCUUGGAGUUAGAAAUUGAACUAUACAAUCAGUUGCUGGUGCUUCGUUCAUAAUUUUUUCUGUUAUUCCCUCUUUUUUUUUAAUUUUUUUCCUUUUUGGCUUAAAGAUAGAUGAUUUGCUUGAUGUUUUGUUUUCUUUGUCAAUGUAUGGUUUUGUGAGAGAAGAUGAAACAGCUUGAGAGUGCAGCCGUGCUUAUGAUUUCUUCAAAUUGGGAGUCAUUCUGUAGUACUUUUUCACUCUAGGAUUGCCUUGAUUAGAGCUGUAAACGAGUCGAAUUGAACCAAGUAUCUCAUGUUUGGGCUCUGUUCGUUAAGCAAUUCGAACAACGUUCGUGUUCGUUCGUUAACUUUCGAACUCCAAACCUGUGUUCGUGUUUGGCUCAUUAAGCAAAGUUCAUAUUCGAGUUCGAAUUCGUGUUCGACUCGUUUAACAUAAACGAGCCGUUCGCGAACAUGCUCGAAAAGCUCGAAUACAAAUUAUUUUAAGCCUUAAAUAUGCAAUACAAAUCAUUAAUCAUCCUCAAAAACAAUUAAAGCACUAAGUGACUAAAUAAUAUUAUUCAUUAACUAUAUAACUAGCAUUAACAUAAAAACAAUAAAUAAAACAAAGCAAUUUGCCCUCCACAUAUAAAAGUCGAGCCAUAAAAUUAGCCCUAAAAUUUGUCAAAUGGUAAUUAUGUCAAUGUUCAUGAAUGUUCGUUAAAACUCGCGAACAUGCUCGUGUUCACUCGAUUAUUAAUCGAAUAAAAAAAUUCGUUCAAACUCGAUUCGUUUAAGGUUUCGAACGAACCUUUCACGAACAUGAACGAGUCGAAACGAACCAAACUACUGAACAGUUCGGUUCAUUUAACAGCUCUAGCCUUGAUAAGAUUUUUGUGGCUUUGAAUAUUAGAAUAUAUUGGAAAGUGGCAGUAGGUUGUUUCUCUUUUGUGCCCAUUUCAUUUGCUAGACAUUUUUGCUCCUGUCACCUUAGAUCACAGAACAAUUGACCUGUGUAUCUGUGUACUAUUGACUAGAAAUGAAAUUGCAAGUAUACGGUGUAAUGCAACUCACUAUUUAUAUUUUAUAGUUAUCCUCCUUACUUUGUAGCACAAACAAUAUGAAAAUUGGUGUUUCCAUCCCUCUAAGUACCUCAAUUACAGAGUUUAUUAGGGUUCUUGUCGUCCUCAGACACCUGCCACCCUCGACUUUUUAGGUAUCCUGUUUUCCUGUCGCUUUAUUUUUGGUGACUUUUUUACAAGUUCUGAAUGAACCCUGUUUCCAGGAACAACCUCCAAAAAGUCCCCUCUGGCUUUCGCCACCACUGCACCCUUUUAAGAAUCACCGCCCGAAACAGCAUCGUGUGCGAAAGUCGUGGAUAUGACAUAUGAGUUAAACUGCAAGCGUAGUUAUUAGCAUUAUUAAAGGUAAUGGGUUCUGAAUUUGAAGUAGUUGAGGAGAGAUUGAAGGCUUUUUUGGGUCAGCUGCAUACAGAAUUUGGAAUUCUUAGUAAUUUGAUAUGGAGGCUUUGAAAAGUUAAAUUGGAAGUUGAAUGCAAUUUAAUGUAUGAUUAGCAGUGAUUAGACUGUUACUUGCUGUUGCAUUGCACAUAUCUAAACUUUUGGCCUUUCAUUGCUUCAAUUUGUAAUUCUGUUUGCAUCCUGUUUUACACUGGGGUUCAGUUUAAAAUGGAGAAGGUGUGAUGGAAGUAAAUAUAACUUUUUGGAAAGGCUUGUUGAGGUUGCACGUUUACUAUCAAAGAUGGUUGAGCCAAUGUUGAAGGCAGCUGUGUAUCCUUUGGUUGAGUUUUUGAUUUUGUAUGUAGGAUCUUGACUAAAGAUUCACUUCUGGAAAUUAAUGGGUUCAUUUAUCCUAGAUUCCCUACUCAUUUCACACCCUUUAUUUUCUUUUCAAUUGGUUCAUGUUAAUCUUUUGAAAUUGAAUGUCUUGAAGGGUUUCUGCUUGUACCAGUUUCAAAGUGACAUCUCAAGUGUGUGAACUAAUAAUGUGGAGCAACAUUUUGCGCUAUUUAUGUGGUUUCCUGUUGGUUGUGUCUUUAAUCAAGCUAAUUUUGACUUUGUUUUUUAUAUUCUUAUACUUAACUACUUCUCUGACUUAAGAUCUCCUGGCAUAUAAAAGAAGCAUCCUAUCGUAAUCAGACAUGGGAUAUGAGUAGAAUUAUCACUACUUACUCUAGUUUACUCUUCUUCAUAGUUGCAGAUUAAUAUUGGAUCCUUUAUUAUUUUGCUUUCUUUGUCUUGACAUUCAUGGUUCAGUUAAUCAUGUAGGAAAUUCCUCCUGAUGGUUGGUAUUAUUGCGUAGGAUUUUUUAGUGCAGUCUUGCAUGGUCCUUUCAUAUAGUUUUCAUCUGUUUUUCCGUGACAACUAACAGAGAUAUAUCUGAACUGCUUUCUCAAUCAUUCUUCAUGGGAUUUUCACUGACAAUUUUGUCACUGCUUGCACGCCUUCGAGUCUUGAUUCAACAAAUACUCCUUGAUGUUGUUUGUGUAUACAACUCCGUUUCUUCUCUAUCUCGAAAGGAGCAGGCUAUUAAAAUAACCGAAGAAGGUUUCGAGGUAUUUAGGGAAUAUUAUCCUAUAAAGGAGCAAUUUAUCUCCUUAGAUUGCAUUUGGCAGACAGAUAAGUGUGUACUAGUUGAAAAAAAAUGAAUGAAGCUGAAUCCAAAGCCAAGGAAAGGAUGGCAGGGAAAGAUGUUUCGCAAGGGGCAUCUGCAGUACAGUAUCAGAGCAUUGAGGUUUUGGUUGGAGGUAAUUAAAGAUUAGGCCUCAGAGGAAAUUACUUCAGCUAUCUCUCUUCAUUUCUAUAACCAACGUUUAAGAAAUAUGAAGCAACGCUUCACAAUGUUUUGCUUUCAUAGAGUAGAGUACCUUUACUUCUUCAUGCCAAUCUUGUUACCAAAGGUAUCAAUCACCUUUAAAGAACUUAACGUUAUGCUUCUGGUUCUCCUAGAUUAUGAAACUGUUAAGGCACAUCCUGAAUCACAGAUGACAAUUUGUUUCACUUGUACUCCAUUACUUUUUGCAUGCAACUAGAAAAUUAAACAUUAAUAAACUGAUAGAUUCUUUCUUUG